rnacentral:misc_RNA from 1 species
UACAAGGUUAGUAAAAUGGCUGACAUUGUGUGAUGUUUUUAGUGUUUGUGUUGAAAUUUGAGUAAAAUCGUGUUUUUCCAAAAAGGAUCAUCAAAAAUGGGUAAGUGUUGUGGACUACAGAUGAUAUUGAAAUCUAAAGACAUUUUUUUAAUUGGUAAGUAGUGUUCGUAAUGUCUCCAAAGACGUUUAAUGGAAAUUGUUCAGAAUACAACAGUGUAACAUUGGCUACGCUAUUUGCUUAGCAAUAAUAUUAACGGAAUGAGAAAUACUAACUAAAAAAACUUAGAACUAAAACUGUAAGUUACAUAUAUUUAUUCUGCCUAAAUAAUGAUUUUAUAAUAACAAGUAACUGAAUCCACGAUAUGUGUAUAUUUUUAUAUCAUAUACGGUUAUGAUGUCAUCUCUCGACUACACGGAAUUCUCCCAAUAUAGAUUUCUUCAUGGUAAAACGUUGCAUGUAGGUAUGCCUUAAUUUGAAUAUUUUGCAAGCCUAGAUUCUAGACUUCAAUUACGAGUGGCGUUUAAAAUGAUUAAACUUGUUUUUAAAAAGGUGUUACUGCUUUUACUGUGUUAAACGGAUUUUAGAGUCUUCAUGUAAAAAAAAAUUUUGCCAGCUUAUAUGUAUUGCAGUUUAUGUAUACCUAUUGCUUUGUACAAAAAAUUGUUUCUUUCUGGCUGCGUGUUAUCGACAAAAAAUUUAUAGUUCGUAGACAAAACACCUGCUAAAAAUAUGUUUUUUAAUUUUACGUGUUAUGAAAAAAGUUUUAUUAUAUUGAAUAGCGUUGUACAAGUAAAUUAUCCUUCUAUAAAAUUAUUUAAAAAUCCAUGUUCAUAUUUUUAAAUGCUACUCGUGUUUGCCAAAAUCCAAAGUGUGCAAUUUUGUUUUAAAAUAAAAAAAUCUAAUAUGUUUUAAGAUAACUUCAAUAUGAGGUAUAUUGAAGUGGAUGGUGCUAUGGUUUUGGAUUCCCCAUGAAAGCGGAGCAAAAAGAAUUCUAUACAUUUUUAACAAGCUUAAUGCGCAGCUGAUGCGUUCGAUUCUUGUAUUAUCCAACCUGACUAUGAUAAAUUGGACUUCUGAUGAGUAUGAUAUCACAAACCGAGUUUAAGAUUAAUGAGUGAACAAUGUACUUAAUUAACUAUUUGCAGUUAAUGUGAAGCUACCGAUUGGGAAUAUAGACUCUGUUGAGAAGAAUCGUCAAAUAACUCAGCGGUUACUCUUUUAACAAACCAUCAAUCAGCCCAACUAAAUAUUUAUUAUUUAUGUAAUCUCGUACAAAAUAAUAUGAAUUUAAAACUAUUUAUAUUGUAGUUGUCGAAAUUCUAUCGCCAUCUCUCGACAAACAAUUUAACACUCGGUGAAGUUGAGACCUCAGCUAUCAACACUUCAUUUGUCAAAGUCAGUCAACGUGUUGGUUCUGUACGAGAUAAGCAAAUAGGUUUUACAUCGAUUAACCUAUUGAUUGUGCUAUUGUUUCGAGGCUUGUUGAGAAGAUUUUAAACUAGACAUUUUUCGUGGUUUCACCCGCGUACGGACUUACUGUUCUUAUUAUAUGAUUUGUUAGUGUAAUUGUUCUAAAACUAGUGUAACUUCUGGACAAUGUUUAACGAUGUAAUAAAAAUAAAAAUAAAAAUUAUAAAUACGUGUUUAUAUGUAUAUUUCGCAUGAAUUAUUAUGUUUUUAUAUUUAUAUGCCUUUGGAAUUAUCUACUUUUGGCGGUAAAUCGUUUCUUUUGUACAUUAAAUAACGGUUCUAAGUUUGGGUGUAGCUGUAGUUGUGAUAUAGUAUAAAGUCAACCUAUUGCUACAUGUGUUUUGUAAGAAACAACAAAAAGUUACAAAGAAUACCUUUUAAAAAAAGGAAAAAUAAAACAAAUCUCUCAAUGUAUCUAAGUACCUACAGAUCCGCAUCGCAGCCGCGCGAGUCGUUUUGUUAUUAUCAUGAUUACUCCGAUAGCGAUGAAUAAUGGAGACUGAAUUUUUAUCG